AAAUUGAAGAGUUUGAUCAUGGCUCAGAUUGAACGCUGGCGGCAGGCCUAACACAUGCAAGUCGAACGGUAGCACAGAGAGCUUGCUCUCGGGUGACGAGUGGCGGACGGGUGAGUAAUGUCUGGGAAACUGCCUGAUGGAGGGGGAUAACUACUGGAAACGGUAGCUAAUACCGCAUAACGUCGCAAGACCAAAGAGGGGGACCUUCGGGCCUCUUGCCAUCAGAUGUGCCCAGAUGGGAUUAGCUAGUAGGUGGGGUAACGGCUCACCUAGGCGACGAUCCCUAGCUGGUCUGAGAGGAUGACCAGCCACACUGGAACUGAGACACGGUCCAGACUCCUACGGGAGGCAGCAGUGGGGAAUAUUGCACAAUGGGCGCAAGCCUGAUGCAGCCAUGCCGCGUGUAUGAAGAAGGCCUUCGGGUUGUAAAGUACUUUCAGCGGGGAGGAAGGUGUUGUGGUUAAUAACCACAGCAAUUGACGUUACCCGCAGAAGAAGCACCGGCUAACUCCGUGCCAGCAGCCGCGGUAAUACGGAGGGUGCAAGCGUUAAUCGGAAUUACUGGGCGUAAAGCGCACGCAGGCGGUCUGUCAAGUCGGAUGUGAAAUCCCCGGGCUCAACCUGGGAACUGCAUUCGAAACUGGCAGGCUAGAGUCUUGUAGAGGGGGGUAGAAUUCCAGGUGUAGCGGUGAAAUGCGUAGAGAUCUGGAGGAAUACCGGUGGCGAAGGCGGCCCCCUGGACAAAGACUGACGCUCAGGUGCGAAAGCGUGGGGAGCAAACAGGAUUAGAUACCCUGGUAGUCCACGCCGUAAACGAUGUCGACUUGGAGGUUGUGCCCUUGAGGCGUGGCUUCCGGAGCUAACGCGUUAAGUCGACCGCCUGGGGAGUACGGCCGCAAGGUUAAAACUCAAAUGAAUUGACGGGGGCCCGCACAAGCGGUGGAGCAUGUGGUUUAAUUCGAUGCAACGCGAAGAACCUUACCUACUCUUGACAUCCAGAGAACUUAGCAGAGAUGCUUUGGUGCCUUCGGGAACUCUGAGACAGGUGCUGCAUGGCUGUCGUCAGCUCGUGUUGUGAAAUGUUGGGUUAAGUCCCGCAACGAGCGCAACCCUUAUCCUUUGUUGCCAGCGGUCCGGCCGGGAACUCAAAGGAGACUGCCAGUGAUAAACUGGAGGAAGGUGGGGAUGACGUCAAGUCAUCAUGGCCCUUACGAGUAGGGCUACACACGUGCUACAAUGGCGCAUACAAAGAGAAGCGAACUCGCGAGAGCAAGCGGACCUCAUAAAGUGCGUCGUAGUCCGGAUUGGAGUCUGCAACUCGACUCCAUGAAGUCGGAAUCGCUAGUAAUCGUAGAUCAGAAUGCUACGGUGAAUACGUUCCCGGGCCUUGUACACACCGCCCGUCACACCAUGGGAGUGGGUUGCAAAAGAAGUAGGUAGCUUAACCUUCGGGAGGGCGCUUACCACUUUGUGAUUCAUGACUGGGGUGAAGUCGUAACAAGGUAACCGUAGGGGAACCUGCGGUUGGAUCACCUCCUUACCUUAAAGAA
rnacentral:rRNA from 4 species